rnacentral:rRNA from 1 species
GACGAACGCUGGCGGCGUGCCUAAUACAUGCAAGUCGAGCGGACUUGAUGAAGUGCUUGCACUUCUGAUGGUUAGCGGCGGACGGGUGAGUAACACGUAGGUAACCUGCCUAUAAGACUGGGAUAACAUUCGGAAACGAAUGCUAAUACCGGAUACGCGAAUUGGUCGCAUGGCCGAAUCGGGAAAGACGGAGCAAUCUGUCACUUAUAGAUGGACCUGCGGCGCAUUAGCUAGUUGGUGAGGUAACGGCUCACCAAGGCGACGAUGCGUAGCCGACCUGAGAGGGCGAUCGGCCACACUGGGACUGAGACACGGCCCAGACUCCUACGGGAGGCAGCAGUAGGGAAUCUUCCGCAAUGGACGAAAGUCUGACGGAGCAACGCCGCGUGAGUGAUGAAGGUUUUCGGAUCGUAAAGCUCUGUUGCCAGGGAAGAACGCUUGGGAGAGUAACUGCUCUCAAGGUGACGGUACCUGAGAAGAAAGCCCCGGCUAACUACGUGCCAGCCGCCGCCGUAA